CCUACGGGUGGCUGCAGUGGGGAAUAUUGGACAAUGGGCGAAAGCCUGAUCCAGCCAUGCCGCGUGUGUGAAGAAGGCCUUCGGGUUGUAAAGCACUUUCAGUGGGGAAGAAAGCCUUGGGGCUAAUACCCUCGAGGAAGGACAUCACCCACAGAAGAAGCACCGGCUAACUCCGUGCCAGCAGCCGCGGUAAUACGGAGGGUGCGAGCGUUAAUCGGAAUUACUGGGCGUAAAGCGCGCGUAGGCGGUCUGAUAAGCCGGUUGUGAAAGCCCCGGGCUCAACCUGGGAACGGCAUCCGGAACUGUCAGGAUAGAGUGCAGGAGAGGAAGGUAGAAUUCCCGGUGUAGCGGUGAAAUGCGUAGAGAUCGGGAGGAAUACCAGUGGCGAAGGCGGUCUUCUGGACUGACACUGACGCUGAGGUGCGAAAGCGUGGGUAGCAAACAGGAUUUGAUACCCGUGUAGUC
rnacentral:rRNA from 1 species